AUACGGCGGAUCCGAGCGUUAUCCGGAUUUAUUGGGUUUAAAGGGUGCGCAGGAGGCCAUUUAAGUCAGCGGUUAAAUCGUGGGGCUCAACCCCAUUCUGCCGUUGAUACUGGGUGGCUUGAUUGCGGUCGAGGUUGGCGGAAUUCGUUGUGUAGCGGUGAAAUGCAUAGAUAUGACGAAGAACACCGAUUGCGUAGGCAGCUGACCAGACCGCAAAUGACGCUCAUGCACGAAAGUGCGGGGAUCGAACAGGAUGAGAUACCCUGGUAGUCCGAACAGUAAACUAUGAAUACUUGUUUUCGGCGAUAUAAUGUCGGAGGCAAAGCGAAAGCGAUAAGUAUUCCACCUGGGGAGUACGCCGGCAACGGUGAAACUUAAAUGAAUUGGCGGGG
rnacentral:rRNA from 1 species